UACGAAGGGGGCUAGCGUUGCUCGGAAUCACUGGGCGUAAAGCGCACGUAGGCGGCUUUUUAAGUCGGGGGUGAAAUCCUGGAGCUCAACUCCAGAACUGCCUUCGAUACUGAGAAGCUCGAGUCCGGGAGAGGUGAGUGGAACUGCGAGUGUAGAGGUGAAAUUCGUAGAUAUUCGCAAGAACACCAGUGGCGAAGGCGGCUCACUGGCCCGGUACUGACGCUGAGGUGCGAAAGCGUGGGGAGCAAACAGG
rnacentral:rRNA from 1 species